UCGUUGGGCUCAAGAACAUGGGCUGUUCAGCCGGAAACGGCUGAAUGAAACCUGUCAAACUCGGUGAACCCUGAAAUGGGAAUACCGAGCCAAGCCCGCAGAAAACCGCGGGAAGGUGUAGAGACUAGACGGCAGGCACCCGCAUUCGGACAGCAAUGUCAAAUUGCUGCCGAAAUAGUCGCAAGGCAUUAGGCCUUGCGGCUUCGGGGUGAAGGUAUAGUCCAGACUACAAACUCGUAA
rnacentral:ncRNA from 1 species